UCUUAGCUGUUUGUCUUUACUGAUGGAGAGGUGGGGAACACCAAAGAAGUGAUCGAUCUGGUGAAGAAGAACUCAGGUUCUCACAGGUGUUUCUCUUUUGGGUUUGGGGAAGGGGCCAGCUCUGCCCUCAUUAAUGGGAUGGCCAAGGAAGGAGGAGGUCACGCUCAGUUCAUCACAGGGACUGACAGGAUGCAACCAAAAGUGAUGCAGUCGCUGCGAUUUGCUCUGCAGCCGGUUGUGGUCGACAUCUCAGUCACAUGGGAUUUACCAAAGAAAGUGUCUGUCACUGUCCUCUCUCCACCAAUCAC